rnacentral:rRNA from 1 species
GACAGAGGGUGCAGACGUUUGUUCGGAAUUACUGGGCGUAAAGCGCGUGUAGGCGGCCACGCAAGUCGGGCGUGAAAUCCCACGGCUCAACCGUGGAAGUGCACUCGAAACUGCGUGAGCUAGAGUCCUGGAGAGGAAGGUGGAAUGCUUGGUGUAGAGGUGAAAUUCGUAGAUAUCAAGCGGAACACCGGUGGCGAAGGCGGCCUCUGGACAGUGACUGACGCUGAGACGCGAAAAGCGUGGGGAGCAAACAGGG